CACGUAGGGGGCAAGCGUUGUCCGGAUUUAUUGGGCGUAAAGCGUGCGUAGGCGGCUGCGCAAGUCGGGUGUGAAACCCCGGGGCUCAACCCCGGAACUGCAUCCGAUACUGCGUGGCUAGAGGUAGGUAGGGGAGAUCGGAAUUCCUGGUGUAGCGGUGAAAUGACGCAGAUAUCAGGAGGAACACCGGUGGCGAAGGCGGAUCUCUGGGCCUUACCUGACGCUCAGGCACGAAAGCUAGGGGAGCGAACAGG
rnacentral:rRNA from 1 species